rnacentral:rRNA from 1 species
UACGAAGGGGGCUAGCGUUGCUCGGAAUCACUGGGGCGUAAAGGGUGCGUAGGCGGGUUUUUAAGUCAGAGGUGAAAUCCUGGAGCUCAACUCCAGAACUGCCUUUGAUACUGAAAGUCUUGAGUAUGGGAGAGGUGAGUGGAACUGCGAGUGUAGAGGUGAAAUUCGUAGAUAUUCGCAAGAACACCAGUGGCGAAGGCGGCUCACUGGCCCAUAACUGACGCUGAGGCACGAAAGCGUGGGGAGCAAACAGG